rnacentral:rRNA from 1 species
GACGAACGCUGGCGGCGUGCCUAAUACAUGCAAGUUGAGCGCUGAAGGUUGGUACUUGUACCAACUGGAUGAGCAGCGAACGGGUGAGUAACGCGUGGGGAAUCUGCCUUUGAGCGGGGGACAACAUUUGGAAACGAAUGCUAAUACCGCAUAAAAACUUUAAACACAAGUUUUAAGUUUGAAAGAUGCAAUUGCAUCACUCAAAGAUGAUCCCGCGUUGUAUUAGCUAGUUGGUGAGGUAAAGGCUCACCAAGGCGAUGAUACAUAGCCGACCUGAGAGGGUGAUCGGCCACAUUGGGACUGAGACACGGCCCAAACUCCUACGGGAGGCAGCAGUAGGGAAUCUUCGGCAAUGGACGAAAGUCUGACCGAGCAACGCCGCGUGAGUGAAGAAGGUUUUCGGAUCGUAAAACUCUGUUGGUAGAGAAGAACGUUGGUGAGAGUGGAAAGCUCAUCAAGUGACGGUAACUACCCAGAUAGGGACGGCUAACUACGUG